GACAGUCUUUCUCCUUAUAUUUUACGUUCUCUAAAAUCAUUGCCUUUUUUCUUGGACAACAUUUAUACAUGAUUUGUAUAUAUUAAUGUUCAAGGUAAGUAUUUCCUAUAAAUGGAGGGAUUAAAGCAAUGUUUGCCAAUCUAAAAAUGUUGCAGUACGCUUGUGAUCCAUUCCUAUUAUGGUGUGACAUUUCCAACUUGGAUUAGAAAUUCUUUGUCUUUUACUAAAGUGUAAUCCCAGAUCAUCUCUGUCUUUGAUUCACAAGAUCAUCUUUUAGUAAAGAGGAAGAUGAUAGUGGAUUCUUCUGUCUACAAAUGUGUAAUAAAGUAACUCUCUGCAACAAUUGGAAGGCUGGAAGCCAGUAAAAUUACUGUUUUUCAAAAAGAGUUCAUUAUCCAUGUAAAAAGGUGAAUCCUAUGAAUGGAGUGAUCAAAGCAGUGUUGAUCAGAAAAUGUUUCGCAGUACUUCUGAGAUCUUAGUUCCUAUGUUGGUAUGAGCUUUCCAAUUGGAUAAGAAAUUCUUAUGCGUUUUGAGACGAAAAGCUCAAUGCGUUUCUGCAGGAUCAAAGAGUGCAAAAUUCUCCAGUAUUGCGUCUCUUGAAAGAUCAUCAAGAAGGGUUCUCUGCUUGAAUCUUUUGCCAGAGAAGGCUCACUUGAUAUGAUAAUCUCAAGUCCUUAUCAAAUGAACUGCACAGUUUCACAUCCCUUAACUUGUUGCAAGAAAGGGAUGGGAAGCCUUUUUUCCCUUGAAAUGAUUCAAAAGUCUGAAGAGGCUUAAAGGGCGCAAACCUUCGGAUCCAUUCAUUCACCAUGGUAUUGUGAACUUAUUGUGAUGAUAAGGAAUGUGAAGGCUGAAAAAGUGUAGUGGCGGGGCGGCAAUUUAAGCACCGGAAUUGAGACGGUUUCUGCAUCCAAAGAAAAUCAAUAUAUUCAUUUCCUCUUUUUCUUUGAUUAGAUAUAGGCUAGUGAAUGGUGAUGUUAAGAAAAUGUAUAGGUGAAGAGUGAGUGUUCUUUGUGAGUUCUUGUUUAUUUAAUUAGAGCCAAAAGACUAUUGUGAAAAUUUUCACUUUCUGGGAUUUGAGUGCAUUAAGUGGGAGAGUGUUAGAAAGAAAUAUGAGAGAACGGUUUUGGGUUUAGAUUUAACAUGAGUCUAUUAGACUUGUACUAUUAUCCUCUAUUUUAGUCAUUUGACUCACAGCCCGUGGAUGUAGGCAUGAUUUGCCGAACCACGUAAAUUUGGUGUUGUUA